GGGACCGGAAGGGCUGGGCAGGGAACCGGGCGGCCAGUUUUUCUCCGACUAGGCGAGGCCCUGUGACGUGACGUAUUGGUCUUCCGACGGGGUACGCCUUCACCGGAGGGUAUAAAUGAAAAAGAGAAAAAAGAAAAAGAAAAAACAGGAAAUUGUUUGAAAAUUUGAAAAGGAGGGUCUCACCGAGCAAUGGCCGAAUGAGCAAUGGCCGAAUGUCAGCUGGAAUGCCCACUGGAUAGUGCUGUUGCUGGUGCCCUGAGACUGCGGCCAGGUGCCAGCCCGCCCCCAAAAAAGAUCACGAGACAGUGUAGCAUCAGCGUUUCAGGGAUUAUGGAAAAUCACAGCACACAUCUGGCACCAGGCUUCUCCGUCAACGACCUUGCCCCAGCACCAGCGAAUGUGGCUGCCUUCUGGGGUCUGCUGGGACCAGGUGGCUUCAACAGUCUCUACCAAAUGUCCUUCCAGAAGUGGAACCGCUUUUCCCCGUGUGGCCUGAGAACCUCCCGGACCCCACUCUGUUCCUGGGGAUUCGUCCUUCCCACCAGAGCACCUCCAGCUCCAGGCAGUUGCUGAUCUCCUAUAAUACUUGAGUUGUCAAAGUAUGGACUAAAAUAUCUGCCAGGUUCAUCUGGGCUUGUGCCAAAGGAUAAAAAAGAGAGCUCUGGAGGAAGCCAGCAGCCAAGUUCUAAGGACACUCAAGCAGCACCAAGGGGAGGUCCACAUGGCAAGAAAUUAAAGCCUCCUGAGCAGCUAUGUGAGUCUAUCUUGGAAAUGAAUCCACCAGUCUCAGGCCAACAUCUUAACUGCAAGCUCAUAGAGACCCUUUGCCACCAUUAUCUUAUGUUUUGCAAACUGUGGUCACUCAGCUGCCUCCCUGAAAGACUCCAAGCUCCUAGAACCCUGAAUCCCGGACUUGCUUAAGUCUGUCCCCAUCACAGCAGGCAGAUUAAAGGCUAAAAGAAAGUGUGUUGGAUGAGCAAUGGUUGCCCUCUAAUCAAAUGAAUGAAUAAAUGAAUGAAGGAGGGAGAUAUGCCCCGGGUCUGUUGAGUCAAAAGGCACAGACUUCAUCUCUAGGUCUUUCUGAAAAACUAGACCUAUAUCUCACAAUAGCAACAUCCAAGGGAGAAACUAUGACUAUUUUCACAUAGACUAGGAAAGACUGCCAAACCCUCAAAACAAUGGGAAGGAGUCUUCAAGUAUCAUGGAAAGAAGAGAUGUCACGUUGGUAACUGUGGGUGGCAAAGCAGGAUUAGAGCAAGGAGACAACUCCCCUGUGAGUACCUCAUUUUACAGCAUAUGUUUUCCAACAGUCUUGUGAGGUAAUCAGAGAUAGGAUUACAGCUCCAUUUUGUUGAAGAGAAAAUUGAGAAUCAGAGAAGGAAAGCAACUAGCCUGAAGUCACACAGGAAACACAUAGUCCUUAAAUUCCCAACCAGAGAGUUGUUCCAAGACUCUCUAAUGUAUUUCUCAAAAGAUUGCUUUAGGGGUGGCUGGGUGGCUCAGUCGGUUAAGCCUUCGACUUUGGCUCAGGUCAUGAUGUCGGGGUUUGUGGACUUGAGCCCUGCAUCCGGCUCUGGGCUGACAGCUCAGAGCCUGGAGCCUGCUUUGGAUUCUGUGUCUCCCUCUCUCUCUGCCUCUCUCCUGCUCACGCUCUGUCUCUAUCUCAAAAAUAAAUAAACAUUUUAAAAAAAUUAAAAAAAGAAAAAGAUUGCUUUGUAUUCCUCUUGGCCUAAGCCUGCACCCACCACAGACCCCUAGGCAAAGGAAAGGAAGUGAAAAGAGUAGUUGCUUUCCUGCUGAGAACACUUCCAGUCUGUUUGCAAAGAGAUCCCACCAAACCGCCUAUUUAUUGGGGUGGGGGUGGACAGGGGUUUGAGCAGGGAUUUAUGAAAGGAAAGGGAAGGGCUGAAGAAGCUCUGGAUGGCAGAAUUCCACUCAGCGUCAUUUAGGCCCCUCCUUCUCCCAGAAGCCAGCUAGGAAUGAUCCUCCUCGCCUGAAACUCCCACUCCUUUUUCUGAACUCAUUGUGAAGUUGCUGGGUGACGUAUUGGGAGAGCAGAGCAGUGAGAGGAAGUGGGGCAUUGCCUGGAUUUCACGGAUUUACCUCCAUUUGUACCCCCAUCUCCACCUCCUUAAUGUACUUUAUACGGGCCUCUAUCAUAGGUCUUAUCAAUCCAGCCCAGUCUAAAUUAUAUAAACUCUUCUCUGCCAUAUUUGACAAAGAAUGAAGGAUUUCUGCAGUUUCUCAGUAAUUAUUCUUUAAAUAUUAAUAAUUGAGAUAAAGACAAAAGAAGAGAACACUAAAUAAUUUCUACUCACUGGUCCUGUUUCCCCUCUGAAGUCACUCUGAUGCAUAAGGAUUCCAAGAUAAAGAAUAUUUGUAGCCACCUAGAAGACUCCUAUGUGCCUCCAUUCAGUGAACACUCACCCGUCAAUGACAGCCACUAUUCUAGUGAGUUUGCCUGUUUUUGAACUUCAGAGACACUCAGAGUGCAAGUCGGGAGGGACAGAGAAGGAGAGGAAGACACAGAAUUUGAAACAGACUCCAGGCAAAGCCCAACACGGGACUUGAACUCAGGAAUGGCGAGAUCAUGACCUGAGCCGAAGUUGGAAUGUUUAACCGACUGAACCAUCCAGGCACCCCUAAUAUUCUCUAAUAAUUUCUAACAUUGCUCUCAGCCAUUUGUAUUUAUCAGUAUGAGUUUGGAUCAGGUCAGUUUGUGAGUUAGGUCAGGGCUCAUGUUAUAUCUAAGAUGAGAGCUCAAUCUGCCGCUGAGGUCAUGGCUUAUACUUCAGUUGGGAUCAGGGUUCACCCUGUGAUUACAGCUCCAUCAUGGUGGGCUAUGAAUAUAAUCUGUGAUUAGGGUAGAGACCUGUCUGUGACUAGUGUUAGGGCUCCAUCUGUGCUGGAAUCAGGUCUCAGCCUGUGGCAGAGAUCAGAUUUGUUCGUGGUGGGCACAAGGAUUCAAUCAGGGGCUGGGCUCAUAGCAGGAUAGGGUUCUAUUCCAGGAAAGAAGGUCAGGAAGUGUUGGUCAGAAGUUCAAAGAGUCCACUGAGUUGCUGUCAUAUCAGAGGACUGAGCAGAUGGGGGAACCAGAGAACCAAGUGGGGGGGGGUGUCAAAAUAGAGUUGGUGACUGCCAUCACCAUGGAUUACAUUAAAAGGACUAACCAUACCAAGUAUGGGUGAGGAUUUGGAGUACCUGGAGCUUUCUUAUAUUGCUGGUAGGAGUAUACAUUGAAAAACUAUAUUGAACAGCUCUGGCGGUAUAAAUAAAGGUAGGUAUAUAUAUGUAUGCCAUCUGGGUUCAGCAUUUCCACUCCUGGAAUUGACAGACAACUGCUACACACAACAUGGAUAAAUCUCAUGAAAUAGUGUUAAGCAAAAGAAGCCAGACACCAACGAAUAUUUUAUGAUUCCAUUUAUAAGAAGUUCAAAAACAGACAAAAUUAAUCUGUGAUGAUAGGAACUAGAUAAUGGUUACAUUUGGGGGAGAUAUUAACUGGAGGGGAGCACAAAGGAGCCUUCCAAAAGUCUAUGUUUUGAACUGGAUGGUGGUUACACCAUACAUAAAAAUUCACUGAACAUUUAACAUUUGUACCUUUUACUACAUGUAAGUUCUAUCUCAAUGAGAGAAAAGAGAGUAAGGAAACCGUAUGGAAGUGUGGUUGGCUAGGGGCACCUGGCUGGCUCAGUUGGUAGAACAUGUGACUCUUGAUCUCAGGGUCGUGAGUUCCAGCCCCACAAUGGGUGUUGAGAUUACUUAAGAAAAAAAAAUUUUUUUUAAGUGUGGUUGAGGGGAACCUGGCUGGCUCAGUUGAUUGAGUGUUGGACUCUUGAUUUUGGCUUGGGUCAUGAUCCCAGGGUCAUGGAGUCGAGCCCCGAGUUGGACUCCAUGCUGGGCAUGGAGCCUGUUUGGAUUCUCUCUCUCUCUCUCUCUCUCUCUCUCUGCCCUUCUCACACGUUCACAUGCAUACUCUCUCUCUCUUUAAAAAAAAAAAAAGGUGGUUGAAAAAAAAUUUAGCUGAAGACUGGUUGGGGAGUUAAUUCCAUAAUGGCUUGUUGAGCCUGGGGAGUGGGCCUGGAGGGUGUCAGGGGUAGAGGGGUGCAGCCUUUGAAGCAAUCACACUGGGAAUAAUAUAGUGUUAGAAAGCCACACACUUGGAGUCAAAAGUCCUGAGUUUGGAUCUCAGCACUGUGCUUAGUAUCUAAUCCAGUGGGAAGCAUGGUAUGUUGUGAUCUGUCAUGAAGUACCCCACAAAUUAUUCAUUGGUAAUUGUAAGUCACUGAAGCUUUUAAUAUUUUCCUAUUAAUUCCUUUCAAUUCGUGAUACAUGCAUUUGGUUACAAAUUAAGCCUUAUAGAACUGUAUACAGUGAAAAAUCUAUUUUACUCCCAUUUCUGACUCCAAACACCAGUUCCUCAGUCUCCCUCUUGAGAGACAACCACUAUCAUUGGCUUCUUAAAUAUCAUUCCAGAGAGUCUAUGCAUAUUUUUUUUAAUGUGUAU